rnacentral:lncRNA from 1 species
AUGGAGAAGAGAACAUGAAAAGAACAACAUACCUUAUUGAAUUAUACUUGAUUCUUUGUUAACAAACGAGAUUUGGGAAAUGGAGAGGGAAAUUUUUUAGUUUUUGGAAGUUUGGAAGUGGGAGUGGAAAAGAGGGAAAGUUGUUGUUUUGAAAAUGAAAUAGAGUGGACAGAAAAAAUAACCUACACAGAACUUAAGUGGUUCUGCCACGCACCGUUCGC